UUCCUUUUGGCUCAGAGGAUAAAGCGUCUGCCUGCAAAGCAGGACCCCGGGUUUGAUCCCUGGGUUGGGAA
rnacentral:tRNA from 1 species